GGGGACGUAGCUCAUUGGUAGAGCAAUGCACUUCUAAUGCACUGGUAGCGGGUUCGAUUCCCGCCGUCUCCA
rnacentral:tRNA from 1 species